rnacentral:lncRNA from 1 species
CACUAGUACAGAAAACACUUUUUACAUCUGGCCAAAAACCCAUUUUACAUCUGCAGCCUGUCAGAUGUAGACGCACAAGAUAUAAUAAGUUUACGCGUUUUACAUCUGACUUAGCCAGAUGUAAAAUCAACACUUUUUACCUCUGUUCUCGUGCUUCAGUUGACCAUUUUUUCAAUUAUUAUUUUUUUAAAUUAAAUUGGACUUUUUACAUCUGGCCAAGCUUUCCACCAGAUGUGAAAACUUCACCUUUUUUUUUUUAAUUUUAAAUCCUGAUUUUUUUAAAAUCUAACCCACAAGCCAGCAAGACUAUAUAUNNNNNNNNNNNNNNNNNNNNNNNNNNNNNNNNNNNNNNNNNNNNNNNNNNNNNNNNNNNNNNNCACAAGCCAGCAAGACUAUAUAUAUAUAACAUAACUUGCAUAUAUAAACAUAAUUUCACAACAAACAUCCAAAAUUAAAAAUCAAGAACAUGACACUACAUUCGAAUUAAGGCAAAUAGUAAUGUUAGCAAAUAGUAAUGUUAACAAUGCUAAUAUGUACCAUUCAACAUCCAAAAUUAAUAUCAAAACAAUUCACCAUACAAUAACUUCACACAUACCUAGAUCCCUUCCUAAAUCAAGAUAGUUCAUCACACUAAAAUGCCAAAGCCUAAUACUUAUUAAAUUCAAAUCACAUGUGUACAAUAGCACCAUACUAUACAUCCCUUUCCUAAAUUGCAUCACUAAUAUUGUCAUCAAAAUCAAGACAGUUCGCAAGAUCUAAGAGCUCCUAUAUAGCAACUUACCAAAACUUAAGCUAAACAAUGUACAACGUCAAAUAAGAGAGAAACCCGGCCUCGCUCCUAAAUAGCUGCAGUCUCUUUUUUUUUGGGGGGGGGGAGCACAGUACCCUACUCAAUGUGAAGCUGCAGACAUAAGAGACAAAUUAGUGAAUGGGAUUAGUGAUAUUUCUAACACCAAAAGAAUAGAAUAAUCCUGGAGAGAAGGAAAAGAGCUUGAGUUUGCUUACCUAUGAUCAAGAAUGGUUGGAUAGGGGAAAGAACAACACACACAGGCAGAGCACGCUGCUGUCCUCGCUAGGCGAUGAUGCUUCUCGCUAGACGAGCUGUUCAGUAACAGAAACGCAGCUUUUGCUGCCACUCCACUUGUUCUUAAACAACCCUUAACUUUCUUCUACCUUAGAUCCAGGUUUGAAUUUGUCUUUCUCCUUCUUGAAAACAUCCAGGUUUGAAUUUGUCUUUCUCCUUCAACAAGGUUUAAAAAUCCUGAAAACA